UACGGAGGGGACUAGCGUUGUUCGGAAUUACUGGGCGUAAAGCGCACGUAGGCGGAUCAGCAAGUUAGGGGUGAAAUCCCGGGGCUCAACCUCGGAACUGCCCUUAAAACUGUUGGUCUAGAGUUCGAGAGAGGUGAGUGGAAUUCCGAGUGUAGAGGUGAAAUUCGUAGAUAUUCGGAGGAACACCAGUGGCGAAGGCGGCUCACUGGCUCGAUACUGACGCUGAGGUGCGAAAGCGUGGGGAGCAAAC
rnacentral:rRNA from 1 species